CCUACGGGAGGCAGCAGUGAGGAAUAUUGGUCAAUGGGCGCGAGCCUGAACCAGCCAAGUAGCGUGAACGAUGACUGCCCUACGGGUUGUAAACUUCUUUUAUAAAGGAAUAAAGUGAGGCACGUGUGCCUUUUUGUAUGUACUUUAUGAAUAAGGAUCGGCUAACUCCGUGCCAGCAGCCGCGGUAAUACGGAGGAUCCGUGCGUUAUCCGGAUAUAUUGGGUUUAAAGGGAGCGUAGAUGGGUUGUUAAGUCAGGUGUGAAAGUUUGCGGCUCAACCGUAAAAUUGCAAUGGAUACUGGCAGCCUUGAGUACAGUUGAGGUAGGCGGAAUUCGUGGUGUAGCGGUGAAAUGCUUAGAUAUAACGAAGAACUCCGAUUGCGAAGGCAGCCUACUAAACUGCCACUGACAUUGAUGCUCGAAAGUGUGGGUAUCAAACAGGAUUAGAUACCCUGGUAGUC
rnacentral:rRNA from 1 species